rnacentral:rRNA from 1 species
GUGGAUUAGAUACCCUGGUAGUCCACGCCCUAAACGAUGUCAACUAGGUGUUGGGAGGGUUAAACCUUUUAGUACCGUAGCUAACGCGUGAAGUUGACCGCCUGGGGAGUACGGCCGCAAGGUUAAAACUCAAAGGAAUUGACGGGGACCCGCACAAGCGGUGGAUGAUGUGGAUUAAUUCGAUGCAACGCGAAAAACCUUACCUACCCUUGACAUGUCAGGGAUCCCGAAGAGAUUUGGGAGUGCUCGAAAGAGAACCUGAACACAGGUGCUGCACGGCCGUCGUCAGCU